AUAAAAAUUCUCAUUAAAAAACAAAAAUGGUCAGACUGGACAAGACAAAAUAAACAGACAAAAAAAAAAAAAAAAAACCCAAACCAAACUGAAACUCAAUUCAAUGUUGUACACAAGUGCAUGGUGGACAUUACAAGAAUUCAGAAAAGUUGAAAAUAAAAGGAUGGAAAAUGACAUAACAUGUAUAUAUUAGCUAAGUCAAAGCUCAGUUACCUAUAUAUCAGACAAAGUCGACUUUAAGGCAACAAGCAUUACUAAGAAUCAAAAGAGAUGUUUCAUAAAAAGAAAUGGUCAUUCCAACAUAAGGAUAUCACAAUUAUAUACCUAGUAAGAUGUAAGGCAAUACCGAAGAACAAACUGGAAAAAUAUAAAAAUAUGCAGUUAUAUUAACUAAAAAUUUAAGAAAUUAAUAUGCAAUUAUAGUAGGAUAUUUUAACACCCUUACUUCAGUAACUGACAGAACUAGUGACCAAAAACCAUUAAGUUAAUCAAACAGGAUGAAGAUUUGAACAUAAUCAAUAAAACUGACCUCUUUGAUGUACAUAGAGCAUUGCACUCAACAAUUGCGCAUGGAACUCUUACCAAAACUGACCAUAUACUGGGCGAUAAAGUUUCAAGAAAUUUCAGAUAAAUUAAAUCAUACAGAAUAUGGUUUAUGAUCAUAGCAGAAUUAAGCUAUUAAUUCAAAGCUAAAGAUAAAUAGAAUAUUUUCUGCUUAGAAAUGGAUCAAAUAAAAUAUAUUUAAAUGCAUGUCAAAGAAAAACUAGUGGAAAUUAGAAAAUAUGUUGAAUGGUGAUAAAUAGAACAGGUCAAAGCUUGUGGGAUGCAGUUAAAAAGCCAUUCGUAGGUAGUUUUAAAUACAUAUGUUAGAAAAGAAAGGAAGGAAAUUGGUGAUCUAACCAUCCAUCUCAGGGAGUUAGAAAAAGAACAGCCAAUUAAACGUGAAGACAUUAACACAAAUCAAUGAAACAGAAAACAAAAUGUACAACAGAGAAAAUAAAAUAGAUAAAACCAAAGACAGUAGUUAGUUCUGUAAAUAAUGCACCAUAAUUGAUAACACUUGGGUAAGACUAAUGAAAGACAUGGACGAAGGUAUAAAUGACCACUAUCAGGAGUGAAAAAUGCUACAGAUACUGCAGAAUUUUAAAAACUUUUAAAAAGAUAUCAUGAACAAUUUGUGCCAACAAAUUGGAAAAUUUAGAUGCAAUCAAUUAAUUUCUUGAAAAAUACAGCACCCAGUAACUGAUACAAAACAAUGGGAAAGUCUAUUGAAGAAAAAUUAAAUCCCUAACUUAAAUCUCAGAUAGCUUACCCAAAUAGUUCUUUUAAACAUUUCAGGAGGGAAGAAGAUUUACCAUACCAAUGCACUGGUGGUUGAAACAAUCUGUACGAUCGUUUUGGGAAACUAUUUGGUAGUAUCUCCUAUAGCAGAAUGGACCCAUGCCAUAUAACCCAACAGUUUCUCUAAGUUUAUACUUAGGAGAUGUCACAGCAACGUUAUUUAUAGUGGCCAAUAAUUGGAAACAGUUUAAAUGUCAGUUCACAUUAGAAUGGAUAGAUUGUGGUAUAGUCAUACAAUAGAUUACUAUAUGACAAUGAAGAUGAAUAAACUACUCCUACAAGCCCCAAUGUGGAUGAAUCUCACACAUAGAGUUUGAACAAAAAGAAGGCAGACACAAAAAGAUACUUUUUUUUUUUAUAAAG